ensembl:snRNA U6 U6 spliceosomal RNA
AUGCUUGCUUUGGCAGCGCAUAUACUAAAAUUGGAACGAUUCAGGUAAGAUUAGCAUGGCCCCUGUGCAAAGA